CAGAUGCUAGUCCUUCGCAAUACUGGGGACGAAGAACAACAAAAUUGACCAAUGACACCUGGCAUUUUAAGGUAGCACUGCCUUCUAUCGAAGGUAGCGAUAGUGUCAGGAAUUGCCACCCUCGAGUACAUAGGAAAGUUAUAAAAGCAGCACAGAAACACGGAGCGGGCUACGGGCUUGAGAGAGAAGGAUAUGGCGGCCGACUAUUCAACUACGCUGAUGAUUGGAUUGCUGUUGAGGCUUCUUAGACCAAGCUUGGAAGCUGGCGGAUGGACAGACAUCAGAAAUCCAGACACACCGGAGUUACGAGCACUAGCCGAGUUUGCUUACCUGGAUCAACGACACUAUUUUCACAUGUUGAAAAUUCGCAUUAUUUCAGCGAAAAGGCAGGUUGCAGCAGGAAUAAACUAUUACAUCGUAUUCACUGUCAAAGAUUAUGAAGGGCGCCUGGAGAAGUGCACCACUGGAAUUCUGGUGCCCCCAAUCGAUAAAUUGCGAAAAAGAAAAGUUGUAACGAAGUUCAGCUGCAGAUAAGAAUUGUCUGAGAUGCUCCGCACAACAAUACGUGCAACUUAUUCCUUCGUCCACUAUGAGCCCUGCACAAACUGCAACAUCAAGAAUUAUUGAGCCUGAUCAUUGGUUAACCGGGAAACAUGAUUUUCCCUGUGUUACUUAUACGUCUAUAUAAGGAUGAAUAAAUGGGAUAAAAGUCACACAAACAAA